UACGGGGGGAGCAAGCGUUGUUCGGAUUUACUGGGCGUAAAGGGCGCGUAGGCGGCCUGACAAGUCGGGUGUGAAAGCCCUGGGCUCAACCCAGGAAGUGCACUCGAAACUGCCAGGCUUGAAUAUGGAAGAGGGUCGCGGAAUUCCCGGUGUAGAGGUGAAAUUCGUAGAUAUCAGGAGGAACACCAGUGGCGAAGGCGGCGACCUGGGCCAAUAUUGACGCUGAGGUGCGAAAGCGUGGGGAGCAAACAGG
rnacentral:rRNA from 1 species